rnacentral:lncRNA from 1 species
GUUUCAGUUUACAAGUGGACUUGUUCUCCAGACACUUUAGGCAAGCAUGCUUGGGAAUGCAAACGAGUUGCUGUGACUGGAGGACAUUUUCCAUCCCUCAGUAAAGCAUAUUCACUAACGGGGAAAACAGCAUCUAAUUUCUCUCAGAGAGUGCUCUAGCAAAGUCUGCUCAGUCACUCAGCCAGACCUUUCAGAAGUCAGACGCUGCAGUCCACCGACGUGUUGACAGUUUUGCAUGAAUUAAAGAAAAAGGAGUUGGAAGUGCCUGGCAAAGAUUUCUUUGUUGUUAUUAAACUGACCAUGUAUCCAAGAUGCUAUUCUGAAAGGAAAAUUAAGUGAAGGAGGAACCAAAAAAAAUGUUUGAAAUGUAUGAUUAAGAAUAUAUUCAAUUCUUCAACCUA